CAGGGAAGGUCAGGCAUUGCUGUCAGGUCUGUGAAGGGAUUGUGUCCUUGUAGAAAUCUGUCAGUACUGAAUUCUUCAAAUAUGUGCUGUCAGUGAAGGCAUUUAUGGUAUUAAGUACUUCUGACUCCUGUCUUCUUAUUCUGCAUACAUAGGAGGUGGCUGUGAAAAACUUACCUCAAGGAUGCCAUGGGAGGAGUCUCAGCAGUAAUCUCCCAUGAAUCUUUGUGACAAGUAUGGUAAUAUAAAUUAGAAUAGCAAAUGUUGUGUCUGCCUCCAUCUAGAACAUUCUUAGUACCUCAAGUGUUCAUUGGUCACUCACCUGAGGUCACUCACCUUUCACUGCAUUGCUCUGUAUUACCUCAUCCCAUCCCUUUCCCCAUUGGACCAUUUAUAUUGUAAUCCCACCUACCCUAGCCCAAAUAUAUACCCUGGACCCUUGCCCAAGUGGUGGGAUUCUUUUCUCAGUGUCCUUCUGGUUGGAUGUCUCCCUGUUAAGCUGAUCCUUCUCCUGCAACCCUGACCUUUCCUACACCUUGGAUCCACAGAUCCACAUUAAAAACCUUGUUGGAAUUAUCUAGGAGUGAGUCACCUCCUUUGACCCAGGCAAGUGGAUGACAUCCCAACAGAAACUAAUGUGGAAAUAGGAGUGGACAUUGUGAGCCAAAGGAUCACCUUGCAGUUUCUUUCAAAUUUUCUACAAUGAAUAUGAGAAGAGUACUUUACAGGAUCACAAAAAUAUGGUUGAUGUACUAUGGAAGCUUCGAGGAAAAGAAUCAUGGGGAAAAAAUAACAGGGUAAAGAAUCACAAAUGGCAGCUGAGAAGAACUACAAAAUCUCUGAGUCCUACUUAGAUACUGCAUGUAAGAAAUGUUCUAAGGUGGUGUCAAUGCACUCUAGAUGCUGUACAGCCAUCACAUCUUUUAUGAUCACAUUUUCAUUUACUGCAUUUGUCUAGAGUCUGGAACACUGACAUUUAAAACUAAUAUUUUGGGAGAAGUGCUUCGAAGUCUAAAAUUAAAAUUGUGCAUAUGUUUCAGGAGUUCAGUUGGGAAGCAAGAUAUUGUCUAGCAUCUAAAUAUGUAAUUAAGCAAAGGCUUCUUAAUUAUACUAUGCUUAUUAAGUCAUACCCAUAAAUACCCACCUUUAAAUAUUUAUAGGAUUGAAUUAAUGUUGCUGAAUAAUAUAAUUUGAAUUAUUUCUGCUUAAAAUAAAAUCAUUCCUAUGCAUAUUUCCAUUGUAAAUCUGGAGAGGUGGUAAUAAUGGAUUGAAGGGCUUACGGGUCUUUUUUAAAGAUGGGCAACUACAAAUUAUACUAGUGUAAUUUUAUGUCAAGUUUUAUGUUAAGGAGGAGGACUGAGAAUGCCCUUCAACAGGGAACCAGGAGAUUUAUUGGAGGGGACUGUUCUCAAUAGAAUGUUACUUCAGUUUUUGAUCAAAGCAAGCCUUGUCAUUGCAGACCUGCAAGCCUCAAGGCACGUAUGUGUUCCUCCUGUUUUGUUUUUCAGUAUAUCCAGUCUUGUUUUCAACUACAGUGAGGAGAUAUAUUCAGUUAUAGAUAUGAUAGAUUCAGAUGACAGCAGUUAAGCUGUUAUAAUUUUGCUAUUCUCAUGUCCACAGCAUCAGCAGAAUAAUUUGUUAGUUUCUUUCUUGUUUGUGAAAGGCAUGAAACAUAAUUUGCAAGUUAGACUCAAAUUUGUUCUUCAGCUAUAAUUGUUGUAGAACAGGAUAUGAGUUCUGAGCUUUUGUGCACACCCAAUGCACUUAAGUCAUUAAUUCUUGGUGUGGUUCAGAAAUUCCUGCUGAAGCUAUCUACAUAGUUGAGAUAAUGGACUGACUGGAGAGAAGUUUAUUACUGAAA